GUGAUCGUGGGCUGCCUUUGCCCUGGUCAUUGAUAGUGCAGGGAGAGGAAUCAAUGAAAGCGCUUCCCCGUGUUUGAAGGGUCCACUCCUAUCCCUUCCAAACUCUGGAGCUUUCGUACAUGCCUUUAUUCUCACCAGUGAUGUUACCUCCUGGUACCUGGUUGUCGUGCCAGACCCCUGUUUACCUCAUUAGGGAUGGCACCAGGUUCAACAGGCCGGAGAAGAGACCUGGAGCCAGUGAAGGAAACAGGGUUUAUCUGGGGAACUUGAGGGCAGUCAGCAGUCUAGUGGUGGGGGGCUG
rnacentral:lncRNA from 10 species